UCAAUUCAUUCGUUGUAUCGUAGUAAAGGAAAGAAGAAAAGAAUUCACUCAAGUGAAAGGAGCCCGCAUUCCCUCUCUCCUUUCCCACACCCCUAAUAAUAAGAAAGGGGGUGGCCUUGUCCUCUUCCUCAGGUAGGAGAGACUACACCUUUCAAAAGGAUAAACUUAGAAAACAAAGAGAAUCAGAAAGGCCAUCAUUAAUGCGAACAAGGCAAUAGCCUCGAUUAGAGCAAAGCCCAGGAUUGCAUAUCCGAAUAACUGUUUUUCCA
rnacentral:lncRNA from 1 species